rnacentral:tRNA from 1 species
GGAGGCAUAGCUCAGUGGUAGAGCAUUCGACUGCAGAUCGAGAGGUCCCCGGUUCGAACCCGGGUGCCUCCU